GUGCUCGCUUCCACAGAACAUAUACUAAAAUUGGAAUGAUACAGAGAAGAUUAGCAUGGCCCCUGCGAAAGGAUGACACGCAAAUUGGUGAAGCGUUCCAUAUUUUU